AUGCGCAGACUCAAGUAAUAGGCGACGUUUGGUGAUCUUCGGGACCUGCCAGAGCCGGAACCCUCUUACCAGCAUUUCAGAUCAGUUGCUUUUCAAUAAGAGUAAACAUAUGGCAGCCUCGGUUCAUCAUUCCAUUUGUAACUAGAUUCUGCAACAACACUCUCAUCAUAUCUCCGGUCGGAAACUGCGUCCCCGUCAACGACUUCGUUAAAUUAGAAACCCUAACCCUAAAUUCGAUUUCGUGUUUAUGUUAUUUUAUUACCUAUUGAACACAAGGAUGGUGAAUUCUCAACAAAACUUAAUGGAUUUUGGUACAUCUGGUGCGAGGUGACACAAUUUUGACAUUUUAAGCAGGUGUAAACAAGCCAAGUUACUCAAGAUGGGCACCAAAAAUCUCGAAAGUUCAAUUAAACAAGUUUGAGUUCGAGCCUAAAAAUUUUGCUUGUUUAGUAAACAAGCCCAAGCCAGAGCUUCGCUUAUUGAGCUAGAGUCAGCUUGAAAGCCAGUUAUAUAUAUAGUUUUUAUUUCAUAUAUAUUUGUUAUAUAAUAGUUAUUAUUAUUGUUUAUAAAACUACGAUCAGAUAGCUACAUCACGAACUUGAGCUCGAGCCUAGUCGAGCUUGGACUUGGCUCGGCUGGUUUGCACCCGUACUUUUGAGUCUUCAAGGUAAAAUGUUGAGAUCGUCUUCUGGUUUUCUUACUACAGAUGCUGAGAUCGUCUUGACUGCUUCUGGUCAACUUCAAACUACACGUGUACGUCAUCGUGGGAUGUAAGGAAUCAUUGUGAAGUACUCAUUUGUACCUUUGAAUACGUUUGCGUGUGAUGUGAAGCCUAAAACGUUGUGCAUUUGUAUUGUAACUUAUACAUUAUACUUCAUUUUUUUCAUUUAUUUAACUUUAAGAAAAUAAUUGAUGUAUGUAUAUUGUAUAUUAACCAACCCUUUGUUGGUUUUCUAUUUGUUAUUUUAUGUUUGAACCGUUGUGAAUU
rnacentral:lncRNA from 1 species